CCUGCCCCUACUAAAAAUUUUUUGAAAAAAUGAUACAAGGUGGGAUCCAGAGGAAGACAAACCAUAAGACACUCUUAAUCUCACAAAACAAACUAAGGGUUGAUAGAGGG